CCAUUGAAUGCACACACUAAUUCCGAGAUCUGUGUUUUUUUCUAAUCCUCCAGUUUACUCAUGGAUGAAGAUUCUUGCUAAUGUCCUCUAAGAUAGGUGCUAAUUGCCAAUGAGAUGAUUUAUCAUUUGCGUCACUUGGAGAGCUGCUAAGGCCUAUGCAAAUGUGGGGUUGAUGUUUUGGAUUUUAGAGGUCCACACCUCCAUAAUUCUUCCUUCUGAGUCUCUACAUAUGACUGAAGUGGUUGAAAAUGAGUCUCUAAUUGCUGCAUCAAAAAAGAAACUCCAAUAAUGAGGUGGAAGUUUGAUCCAGCUUUCCUUGAGGAUAUUCUAUCUUUUGCUUCUAUGCUUAUUUGUAAUCUUGGUAUGUAGUGUUUAGUUGGUGGGAAUCCUUUUCGAUCGUUGAGGAUGCAUGGUUGUAAAUAAUAUCAUUUCUUUUCCUCUAAAUGAAUUUCAUAGCAAUCACUGCAAAAAGUUGAAAGGGAUGAAUUUCUGGUUCCAAGCCAAGUUUGGGAGCUGGAUUUAUUAUCAUCUUUAUCCAAUCUCGCAUGGACGUAAUGGAGAGAGAUGCUGGAUUUAGAGGUCAAUUGUUGUAUUUCCACAAUAUUCUAACUACAGGGCAUUCCACAAAAAGAUGAAGCAACGUUUCUUCUGCCUGGUUGAAUAUAAGACAAAGUUCCUGUUGUAGAGUCGGGAUUAUUCUGCUUAGUUAAGCCCUAGUAGAAAGUAUAUCCCUAACAGUUUUCCAAAGUAGGAAUUUGUGACAAUCAUGUAUUUUCAGGCUCUAGAGUUUUUUGAAGUUAGAGGUUCGAAAUCUUGGGGCACUGUGAUGUCUGCAAAUUUUGCCGCCAUAUGAUAAGCUGUCUUAACAGAAAAUCUACCAUUAUGAUUUGGGAGCCAUAUCAACUUGUCACUCCUUUGGUUGCUUUGAGCAAAAGGAAUUUUUUGUAUGUGUUCUAUGCUUUCUUGUUCAAAUAA